rnacentral:tRNA from 1 species
UCGUCAAUAGCUCAGUUGGUAGAGCCGGGGGACGGAAGACGAACUCCAAAGUUGAUAUCCAUCGGUCGCUGGUUCAAAUCCGGCUCGACGGA